AUAAUGUGCAGAAGCAAAACUCUAGCUCAACUCCGUGACAUGCUAAUGUGUCACCCCCUGCUGCUUCCAAUCUACCUGUUGUCCCCCAGGAGAAAUAAAACUUAGGGGGAUAAGAACUUAAACUUUUCAUUGCCUUCCUCCUCCUCAAAAUCCUACUGAUCCCCAGCCGCAGAACCUGCCAAAGUCCUCACGGUCCAUCUCCCUCUAGGACAAUCACAG
rnacentral:lncRNA from 1 species